rnacentral:rRNA from 1 species
GACGAACGCUGGCGGCGUGCUUAACACAUGCAAGUCGAACGGUAAGGCCCUUCGGGGUACACGAGUGGCGAACGGGUGAGUAACACGUGGGUGAUCUGCCCUGCACUUCGGGAUAAGCCUGGGAAACUGGGUCUAAUACCGGAUAGGACUCCUGGCUUCAUGGUUGGGGGUGGAAAGCUUUUGCGGUGGGGGAUGGGCCCGCGGCCUAUCCGCUUGUUGGUGGGGUAAUGGCCUACCAAGGCGACGACGGGUAGCCGGCCUGAGAGGGUGACCGGUCACACUGGGACUGAGAUACGGCCCAGACUCCUACGGGAGGCAGGAGUGGGGAAUAUUGCACAAUGGGCGCAAGCCUGAUGCAGCGACGCCGCGUGAGGGAUGACGGCCUUCGGGUUGUAAACCUCUUUCAGCUAUGACGAAGCGCAAGUGACGGUAGUAGCAGAAGAAGGACCGGCCAACUACGUGCCAGCCGCCGCGGUAA